CCAAUAGCGUAUAUUAAAGUUGUUGCAGUUAAAAAGCUCGUAGUUGAAUUUCGGGAUUGACACAUCGGUCGUGCCUUAAGGGGUAUGAACUGGUGUAGUCAAUUUCUCACCUUCUGGAGAACCGCGAUGUCCUUAAUUGGGUGCCGCGAGGAACCAGGACCUUUACUUUGAAAAAAUUAGAGUGUUUAAAGCAGGCAUUUUUGCUUGAAUACAUUAGCAUGGAAUAAUAAAAUAGGACGGCAUGAUUCUAUUUUGUUGGUUUCUAGGAUCACCGUAAUGAUUAAUAGGGAUAGUUGGGGGCAUUAGUAUUCAAUUGUCAGAGGUGAAAUUCUUGGAUUUAUUGAAGACUAACUACUGCGAAAGCAUUUGCCAAGGAUGUUUUCAUUAAUCAAGAACGAAAGUUAGGGGAUCGAAGACGAUCAGAUACCGUCGUAGUCUUAACCAUAAACUAUGCCGACUAGGAAUCAGACGAUGUUAAUUUUUUAAUGACUCGUUUGGCACCUUACA
rnacentral:rRNA from 1 species